rnacentral:lncRNA from 1 species
GUUUGCUUUAGCUGGUAACAGGAUACUGUUUUGAAAAGUGAUGCAGAAGUCAGAUUACUUAUGAAUUUGGGCUUUAUUUUGCAUGAAUGCUUUUCAAGGCAACUACAGAUUUAUUUUUCUUCCUCAUGAAGAAUUAUGUUGACAGCGGGGGUGUGGUGGUGAGCGGGGAGGGGGGGAUCUAAGGAAGACUUUAACUUUUCACCCUUUGGCUUGGAAACCUCAGCCGCAGGGAUCUAAUCAAGCAGACAGCCCCGGCUUCCUUCAGGGUUUCUUUCAAGUGAGGAGCUUCUCCUCUCCCUUUAGAAAAUGUCACGUGGUUCAGACUAUUGAAGUACCUGCAGUACCUGUGAAAAAUCACCUGUUCAAGAGAGCAGAGAAAGAGAAGUGGGGAAAUAUAACAAUAACCACCAAUUUUUGUUGAAAGCCUGUCAUGUGCCAGAAGCUUUUGGUACUUCUGCUAACCCUCACAACUGUCUAGGCAAAUAUCAUUAUUCCACUUUACGAAUAGUGAGAGGGAGAGGGUAGGUGUCCUGUCUGUGCUCACACAGCUAGUUAACGGCUAAGCUGGCCUCGGAGGCAGGUUUGUCAGGCCCUCACGUGAACAUGCUUACACACCUCUUCGUUUUGACCCAUCAACAGGGACUGAUGCUGAUGUAGCCGUGGUAACCAUCUGGUUUGGAGUUUUGCAGGACAGUGCCGACUUGAAAUAUUUUCUCCCAAUAUUGGGCUAAGUGGCAGAUAGUGUAUUCUAAUUUUUUUUUCCUUUGGAAAUGUGACCAAUAUGGCAAUGCUAGUCUUGAUUCAAGCCUUCCCCAUGGCUGACCAGGAGUCUCGGGAAAGAUGGACGCGUAGAACACAUGGAGUGAGGACUUUUGGUGACGCUUGGAGGAAGAACGUUUGAUCAUUCAGGGACCAGCUUGUGUGUGUGCUGUUUUUGGGGUACUCGAGGAAGCAGACACAAGGAACGCGGACAGUGGGCCCCGUCAGUCCUGUCCCCGAAGGAACCAGGCCUUCUUCCUUGCACUGAGCCCUGAAGAUUCCAGCAGGGCAGUGGCCUUCUGCCGGAUUUCCCACACCUGCACUACGGGCCUUGGACAAAUAGUCACCCUUUUGGCAUCUCAGUGUCCAUCUGCAUCAAGGGAGGAUUAUGUCACCCUAUGUCCCAAGGUCAUUGUGAGGAAAUAAUGGAUGCAAACCUGAUUUGAAAAUGAAAAUGUUGUAAAUGCAAGC